UACAGCAGACAUCUCAGCGGACACACGUGUAGCAGAAUUUUAGCUUUCUUAGGGGUUCGAGCUAUGAAAAUAUGUUAUCCUCCAGACCUUAGGAUUUCUGCCCUCCUGGAGGGGAGGAAAUGCCAUAUAUGCCUGACAAGGUCAGGGCACCCUCAGUUCAGUUGAUUUGUGAACAACACUCACAAUGAUUCUUACCAUACAGACACAAAAGCUCCGAGUCCAGAGAAUUAUGAAGACAGUGCUGAGAGUGUACUCUGCGCGCAAUAAUCAAUGAUGUUUCCUAAGUAGAUGACACCGCUCCAUUCACAGCCCAGACCGCUAGAGGGGAAAAUGAAUUAAAAAUCUGUACAAUUUCACCA
rnacentral:lncRNA from 1 species